ACCUGGGUGGCUCAGUCGGUUGAGCAUCUGACUUCCACUCAGGUCAUGCUCUCACAGUUUGUGGGUUAGAGCCCCACAUCAGGCU
rnacentral:tRNA from 1 species